AGUGUACAUUGUUCAUCACGUACUAUCGGCUUCUUCCAUGUUGGGGUAUCCAAGAUCUUGUGGUAUCUGACCGCCCAUAUAUUCUGUUCAGAAACAUAUUUCAGUUCUAUGCAAGCAGUACAUGAUAUUUGCAAACUCUAGUAAUAACGGAAGCAGUGAGCAACCUCUUGGUAUUUUACCUCAUCAAAUCCAUGGUUCCCUAGGACACUUUUCACAGGACACUUGUGGGCCACUCCUUAGACAGUUUUGCACGAUUUUCUGCAGCAUU